UAUAGUGGAGGCGCGCGACCCGUUGCGAUCGUCCAACCCUUAAAAUCCCGCUCGCCUACACGUCGCACCGUCCGUGUGUACCAACGUGUACGUACACACGCGCUCACACGAACGAACAAAUAACGCGUGCAAGGGAUACUUUCAAGGAUACAGGGGAUCCUCCCUCCUUCCCUCGAUAGUUUGAUUCUCGAUGGUGGCGUGGAUGGAACCGUAAUGAUCGUGAAGUGGCCUGCGAGGAAUUCGCGAACAUAAGAACACGUCGUUACGGACAACGAACGCGGAAUCCCAGUAAGACGAAGAACGACGGGGGCAAUUCUUCGACGAGGAUCCUCGGACGUGCUUGAAAUAAGCAGUAAUGGCACAAAUUCUUAUUUCUCCGAGAAUGUUCGGCCUACGGGAAGCAUUUUUCCGACGUUAGUCAGCGGACCAAGAGAGAGACUCAUCAUUCUCCUCGUCUCCGAAAAGCACAGUUCUCGCGGAACUCUCUGUCGGAUGUCCUCCAAAACUUGGACCUCCCUCUGAGUUUCACAAAUUAUAUAUCCCGGGACCAGUUACGCGCGUCGUUCUCGAGAAACUUUUGCAUCGAUCGCGAAGCAAACUAGACGAAUUUUCUUCCAGACGCGAGUCUUCGGGAACUUCCUGAGAACGCGACGCCGCGAUUCGCCACCUCCUCUCUCCCUUUAUCUUACCUCGUUAAAACGCUCUCGGCCAUGAACGAACAAUUUCCACUUUGCCCGCGAUAAACGUAGCGCGCUACAAAAAAAAGGAAAUCCCCGAGUCAAUUGAAAAUUAAGGAGAUACCUGGAAGCGUUCGCGCGAAAUAGGCGAGGGGAGAUUCUUGCUCAUUCUAAUAACGUCGAGUAGAGGAUUGCGAGUAACAGUGUUGUCGUCGUAGUGAAGAAGAAUGUGCGAGAUUACUGUACCUUAAAAUUCCAAGCGUGUUGAACGAUGAGAAUGGCAACCGACGUAAUGCAACGCCGAAGGGCGGAUCUGAGUUAAGAGUGUCGUGAAAGCAUCGAGAAAAAGUUUUUAAACGAAGAUUUAGUUCCGGUUUUCAUCUAAUUAAACCGCGUUAAAAGUGUGAUUUGUGAAAGAAAGAUUAACGAUACAACGCGGACUUCGAUAAAUACGAGAAGAUUUUAAUAGCGAUGUGUGAACGACAGUUGCAAACUCGAGAGAAAAAACUUGCAAUACAGAAUGUAAUUUUUCCAUUCGCGUGAAACGUAACGGAAAUACUCAAUUCGGCUCAAUUAAUACGAUGCGCGGUACAAUGUCGAGGAACGGGAAAAAACGUCGAGUUAUGAUCGAGCGAGGCAGAACGAAAGUUUGACGGGAAUUACUGCGAAAACAACGGCUUCAUUAGGUGCGCAGCAUCAUAUGACAGACCGAGGGAAAAACUUUUCUUUCCGAAACAAAACGUAUGGAACAUACAUCGUCGACGAAUAUCGCGCUCGCGAAUUCCAGGAGCAAUAUUCAUCGUCCUCGGCGAGAAGUUGAUGCGCAAAAAACCACCCCGUCGUAAAACAGCGAGCGAAUUUCACGACGAAACAUCAACGACUACUUUAGUAAUCGUUAAAAGCGGAUCGAAUGACGGUAAAAUGCACGGCCGAAGCGACUGCGCGCUAUAAGAUUAAACGCGAAACUCUCCCGUAAACCGGAGAACUAUCGAACGUUCCUUCUAGCUGAGAGAUUAUCGUAAUAAUUGACGACAACCACCCGAUCCUGUCUCCUUAUAGUGGAGAAAAAAACAGCGAGGUAAUAUAAAACCAACAAUUACAAAGGACAAGUUAUGACAGAUACCAGC